rnacentral:rRNA from 1 species
AUUGAACGCUGGCGGCAUGCCUUACACAUGCAAGUCGAACGGCAGCGGACCUUCGGGUGCCGGCGAGUGGCGAACGGGUGAGUAAAGUAUCGGAACGUACCUUUCAGUGGGGGAUAACGUAGCGAAAGUUACGCUAAUACCGCAUAUUCUCUGAGGAGGAAAGCAGGGGACCUUCGGGCCUUGCGCUGAUGGAGCGGCUGAUAUCAGAUUAGCUAGUUGGUGGGGUAAAGGCCUACCAAGGCGACGAUCUGUAGCGGGUCUGAGAGGAUGAUCCGCCACACUGGGACUGAGAGACGGCCCAGACUCCUACGGGAGGCAGCAGUGGGGAAUUUUGGACAAUGGGCGAAAGCCUGAUCCAGCCAUGCCGCGUGAGUGAAGAAGGCCUUCGGGUUGUAAAGCUCCUUCGGCCGGGAAGAAACCGUGUGGGCUAAUACCCUGCAUGGAUGACGGUACCGGAAUAAGAAGCACCGGCUAACUACGUGCCAGCAGCCGCCGUAAGAC